CCCUUAGAUGUUCUGGGCUGCACGCGCGCUACACUGAUGCGUUCAACAAGUGUUAACCUUGCCCGAUAGGGUUGGGUAAUCUUUUGAAAGCGCAUCGUGAUGGGGAUCGACGACUGCAAUUGUUCGUCUUCAACGAGGAAUUCCUAGUAAGCGCAAGUCAUCAGCUUGCACUGAUUACGUCCCUGCCCUUUGUACACACCGCCCGUCGCUCCUACAGAUUGAGUGAUCCGGUGAAUAGUUCGGAUCGUGCAGGUCGCCCUCGGGUGCUUGUAUGAGAAGUUCAGUAAACCUUAUCACUUAGAGGAAGGAGAAGUCGUAACA
rnacentral:rRNA from 1 species